rnacentral:lncRNA from 1 species
GUGUCCCCAGCCAGCCAGGCAGCCUGGGCUGAAAAUGCAAUUGGGGGAAAAAGAGACCAACAGUGUCUGGCUCCUGGGGGCGGGGUGUGUGGGGGUGUCUGCUCCAGAGUGGGGGACAGUGGGGACUGCUGGCCAAAAGGAAGUACACAGAGAGGAACUCCAACAACCUGAACCAAAUCCAGUGUUGCCCAAGCAGAGAGUCUGGUUGUGGGGCCGACAGAAAGGAUCAUCUCUGACACUCAGUUUUGUUAUCUGAGAAAUGGGCCUUAUUAUAUACACAUCUGCUUACGGUCUGGUUUGGGAUGGCACAGACCGGGAGGAGUUUGGGCAGUGCCCGGCAUGCCCUGGGAGGCGGGCAAGCCGGUGACAUGCACUUGGUGUUUCUGGGGCCUCAGUGAAGGAAGAUCGCUGCAGAGGCUGGGGAUGUCGCUGUGUGAAGCCCUCUUCCACUUCUGAGGACCCAGCACAAACCAAACGGACAAGACCAUUUGAACUCGGAGCAUCUGCCCUUAAGAGUUGAGUGUCCACAGCCUGGAGUGGGAAGUGGGGUCAGGAAGGCCAGACAGUAAUCUCAGUCUCUCUGUACCCCCGCCCCCACGAUGUGUGUCUGCCUGUCUGUCCGUCCUCUCGUGCCUGGAUCUGCGCAGGCCACCCGCAGUCACAGCACACAGUAAGUACAUAUCAGCUGUUGGCCAUCGUCAGAGCAACAGCGUCCCAAGACUGGAGCUGUUCAUGGGGUAAAGACGCCGAGGUUCAGUCUGGUGAAUUCAUGUGUCCGGGGGCGGGUGGGGGCUCCCAGGAAAGCUGACCUGGAACCCCAGCGCUCAAUGACUGUGGCAGUCUAGCCGGGGAAGAUGAAUUUGCUAAGUGAUCUUAGCUGUCAGGCUAAGGUGGGGGGGAGGGUGGUCAUCAGAGCAGGACAGAGAGGAAAGAGUUGGGGUAGGAGUGUGUGAAGUGGGGGUAGGGUGGCGAAAGAGGGGAGACCCCCAAUGUGAUUGGCAGCUACUGCCAUAGGCUAGACCUAGGGCCAGACGUGAGGGGACUGUGUUCUCAAGGUUUCCUAGGGACAGAAGAGGAAAACGUUCUGCCAAGGGCCGAAUCAAGGUGGCAGGAGCUUUGGGUCUGGAGAUCUAAGAGAGUGAGAGAGAUACAAAAAGAAAAAGGGCUGAGGACAAUGAUGAAAAAAA